AGCCGCGGUAACACGGAAGCCCCGAGCGUUGUUCGGAUUCAUUGGGCGUAAAGGGUGCGUAGGCGGCGCGGAAAGUCCGGCGUGAAAGGCAGAGGCUCAACCUCUGGACUGCGUUGGAUACUUCCGUGCUUGAGGACUGGAGGGGAGACUGGAAUUCACGGUGUAGCAGUGAAAUGCGUAGAUAUCGUGAGGAAGACCGGUGGCGAAGGCGAGUCUCUGGACAGAUCCUGACGCUGAGGCACGAAGGCUGGGGGAGCGAACAGGAUUAGAUACCCUGGUAGUCCCAGCAGUAAACGAUGUGAGCUUGAUGUGGGGGGAUUCGACCCCUUCCGUGUCGAAGCUAACGCGAUAAGCCCACCGCCUGAGGAGUACGGCCGCAAGGCUAAAACUCAAAGAAAUUGACGGGGACCCGCACAAGCGGUGGAGUAUGUGGCUUAAUUCGAUGCAACGCGAAGAACCUUACCUGGCCUUGACAUGCAUUGUGUCGUCGGUGAAAGCCGGCUAGUCCUGGAAACAGGACGCUUUGCACAGGUGCUGCAUGGCUGUCGUCAGCUCGUGUCGUGAGAUGUUGGGUUAAGUCCCGCAACGAGCGCAACCCUUGUGGUCAGUUACUAACCGGCUUAGCCGGAGGACUCUGGCCAGACUGCCCUGUCAAACGGGGAGGAAGGUGGGGACGACGUCAAGUCAGUAUGGCCCUUAUGGCCAGGGCUGCACACGUACUACGAUGCCCGGUACAAUGUGAACCGAAACCGCGAGGUGGAGGAAAUCGCUCUUGAAAACCGGGCCCAGUUCGGAUUGGAGUCUGCAACUCGACUCCAUGAAGUCGGAAUCGCUAGUAAUGGCGUAUCAGCAACGACGCCGUGAAUACGUUCCCGGGUCUUGUACACACCGCCCGUCACAUCAUGGAAGUCUCCUGUACCCGAAGCACGUGCGCCAACCUUUUAGGAGGCAGCGUUCGAAGGUAUGGGACUAACUGGGAUGAAGUCGUAAC
rnacentral:rRNA from 1 species